rfam:Triticum aestivum genome assembly, contig: Triticum_aestivum_CS42_TGACv1_scaffold_195318_3AL
AAGUUACUCCCUCCGUUCGGAAUUAACCGUUCAAGAAAUGAAUGUAUCUAGAUGUAUUUUAGUUGUAGAUACAUCCAUUUUUGUGACAAGUAAUUUCGAACGGAGGGAGUACAUU